CCCCUAGACGUUCUGGGCUGCACGCGCGCUACAAUAAUACGCACAGCGAGUAUCACCGAGCUCGAAAGGGUAAGGUAAACAAUAGAAAAGGUACUGUAAUGGUUAUAGAUCCUUGUAAUUAUUGAUCUUCAACGAGGAAUUCCUAGUAAGUAUGUGUCAUCAUCACGCACUGAUUACGUCCCUGCCCUUUGUACACACCGCCCGUCGCUCCUACCGAUUGGGUGAGCCGAUGAAACUCUCGGAUGUAGGCUAUUCAUAGCCCGCAGAAGAGAUUUGAAUCGUAGCGCUUAGAGGAAGGAGAAGUCGUAACA
rnacentral:rRNA from 1 species